GACGAACGCUGGCGGCGUGCUUAACACAUGCAAGUCGAACGGAAAGGCCCUGCUUUUGUGGGGUGCUCGAGUGGCGAACGGGUGAGUAACACGUGAGUAACCUGCCCUUGACUUUGGGAUAACUUCAGGAAACUGGGGCUAAUACCGGAUAGGAGCUCCUGCUGCAUGGUGGGGGUUGGAAAGUUUCGGCGGUUGGGGAUGGACUCGCGGCUUAUCAGCUUGUUGGUGGGGUAGUGGCUUACCAAGGCUUUGACGGGUAGCCGGCCUGAGAGGGUGACCGGCCACAUUGGGACUGAGAUAGGGCCCAGACUCCUACGGGAGGCAGCAGUGGGGAAUAGUGCACAAUGGGCGGAAGCCUGAUGCAGCAACGCCGCGUGCGGGAUGACGGCCUUCGGGUUGUAAACCGCUUUCGCCUGUGACGAAGCGUGAGUGACGGUAAUGGGUAAAGAAGCACCGGCUAACUACGUG
rnacentral:rRNA from 1 species